GACGAACGCUGGCGGCGUGCUUAACACAUGCAAGUCGAACGCUGAAGCUUGGUGCUUGCACUGGGUGGAUGAGUGGCGAACGGGUGAGUAAUACGUGAGUAACCUGCCCUUGACUCUGGGAUAAGCCUGGGAAACUGGGUCUAAUACUGGAUAUGACAUGCCACUGCAUGGUGGUGUGUGGAAAGGGUUUUACUGGUUUUGGAUGGGCUCACGGCCUAUCAGCUUGUUGGUGGGGUAAUGGCCUACCAAGGCGACGACGGGUAGCCGGCCUGAGAGGGUGACCGGCCAAGCGGGAGCUGGAGCAGGGCCCAGGCCCCUACGGGGGGCAGCAGGGGGAAAUUUUGCACAAUGGGCGGAAGCCUAAUGAACCGACCCCGGGUGGGGGAGAAGGCCCUUCGGUUGAUAACCCUCUUUCACGACGAAAGAGGGGGGAGUGGGGGUACGUGCAAAGGAACCCCCGCCAAACUGCGG
rnacentral:rRNA from 1 species